rnacentral:tRNA from 1 species
GGUGGCUUAGUGGUAUAGUGCUUGUCUGGCAUGCAUGAGGCUCUAGGUUCAACUCCUUGGUACCA